ACGGAGGGUGCAAGCGUUAAUCGGAAUCACUGGGCGUAAAGCGCACGUAGGCGGUUUUGCAAGUCAGACGUGAAAUCCCUUGGCUCAACCGAGGAAUUGCGUUUGAAACUGCAGGACUGGAGUACUGGAGAGGGUGGCGGAAUUCCCGGUGUAGGAGUGAAAUCCGUAGAUAUCGGGAGGAACACCAGUGGCGAAGGCGGCCACCUGGACAGAUACUGACGCUGAGGUGCGAAAGCGUGGGGAGCAAACAG
rnacentral:rRNA from 1 species